rnacentral:piRNA from 1 species
UUGAAUGACACACAGGAGCCAGUAAUGGGU